CUUGUAGAUGCGAAUAAGAAGCAUUUGCUGAAGUGCAAUUAUUGUGACAAGAUAUGCACAUCUGGCGUUACAAGGAUAAAGUUUCACCUUUCAACCAUCAAGAAUUGUGGUGUCACAGGAUGCCCGAAGGUUCCUAAUGAUGUCAGGCUGGAGAUGGUAGCUUUGCUCCUAAAGAGUGCUGAGCUUUAGGAAAAAAGGAUCGAGGGAUUGGAGGCGGUCAGAACUAGUGUUGACUUAGAUCACUCAGAUGGAGAAAACCAAAUGGAUGAAGAUGAUGGCAAUCAGGUUGUGGUGUUGAGGUCAAAACCAAACACAAGCAGCUCAAGGGGUGGCCCUAUGGACAAAUUCUGCAAGCCUAGCAUCGAAGAAAGUGUUAAGGGGAAUCAAAAAAGAAAUUGUGAAACCCAAAAGGUUUAA
rnacentral:rRNA from 1 species